rnacentral:rRNA from 1 species
GACGAACGCUGGCGGCGUGCUUAACACAUGCAAGUCGAACGGUAAGGCCCUUCGGGGUACACGAGUGGCGAACGGGUGAGUAACACGUGGGUGAUCUGCCCUGCACUUCGGGAUAAGCCUGGGAAACUGGGUCUAAUACCGGAUAGGACCCUGGGAUGCAUGUCCUGGGGUGGAAAGCUUUUGCGGUGUGGGAUGGGCCCGCGGCCUAUCAGCUUGUUGGUGGGGUGAUGGCCUACCAAGGCGACGACGGGUAGCCGGCCUGAGAGGGUGACCGGCCACACUGGGACUGAGAUACGGCCCAGACUCCUACGGGAGGCAACCGUGGGGAAUCUUGCACAAUGGGCGCAAGCCGUAUGCAGCGACGCCGCGUGAGGGAUGACGGCCUUCGGGUUGUAAACCUCUUUCAGCACCGACGAAGCGCAAGUGACGGUAGGUGCAGAAGAAGGACCGGCCAACUACGUGCCAGCAGCCGCCGUAA